GAUGAAGAACGUAGCGAAAUGCGAUAAGUAGUGUGAAUUGCAGAAUUCAGUGAAUCAUCGAAUCUUUGAACGCACAUUGCGCCCCUUGGUAUUCCAUGGGGCAUGCCUGUUCGAGCGUCAUUUGUACCUUCAAGCUUUGCUUGGUGUUGGGUGUUUGACUCGCCUUUGCGUGUAGACUCGCCUUAAAAUAAUUGGCAGCCGGCGUAUUGAUUUCGGAGCGCAGUACAUCUCGCGCUUUGCACUCAUAACGACAGCGUCGAAAAGUACAUUUUACACUCUUGACCUCGGAUCAGGUAGGGAUACCCGCUGAACUUAAGCAUAUCAAUAAGCGGAGGA
rnacentral:misc_RNA from 1 species